CCAAUAGCGUAUAUUAAAGUUGUAGCAGUUAAAAAGCUCGUAGUUGAAUUUCGGGACUAAUUUGUCGGUCGUGCCUCGGUACGUACUGGCAUUAUUGGUUUCUCCCUUCUGAAGAACCUUGAUGUCAUUAAUUUGGUGUCUUGGGGAAUCAGGACUGUUACUUUGAAAAAAUUAGAGUGUUUAAAGCAAGCUAACGCUUGAAUACAUUAACAUGGAAUAAUGAAAUAGGACGUUCGAUCCUAUUUUGUUGGUUUCUAGGAUUGACGUAAUGAUUAAUAGGGAUAGUUGGGGGCAUUAGUAUUCAAUUGUCAGAGGUGAAAUUCUUGGAUUUAUUGAAGACUAACUACUGCGAAAGCAUUUGCCAAGGAUGUUUUCAUUAAUCAAGAACGAAAGUUAGGGGAUCGAAGACGAUCAGAUACCGUCGUAGUCUUAACCAUAAACUAUGCCGACUAGGGAUCGGAUGAUGUUAAUUUUUUAAUGACUCAUUCGGCGCCUUACG
rnacentral:rRNA from 1 species